rnacentral:rRNA from 1 species
GUGGGGAAUAUUGGACAAUGGGCGGAAGCCUGAUCCAGCAACGCCGCGUGAGGGAUGACGGCCUUCGGGUUGUAAACCUCUUUCGCCUGUGACGAAGCGCAAGUGACGGUAACAGGUAAAGAAGCACCGGCCAACUACGUGCCAGCAGCCGCGGUAAUACGUAGGGUGCGAGCGUUGUCCGGAAUUAUUGGGCGUAAAGGGCUCGUAGGCGGUUUGUCGCGUCGGGAGUGAAAACGCCGUGCUUAACACGGCGCUUGCUUUCGAUACGGGCAGACUAGAGGUAUUCAGGGGAGAACGGAAUUCCUGGUGUAGCGGUGAAAUGCGCAGAUAUCAGGAGGAACACCGGUGGCGAAGGCGGUUCUCUGGGAAUGACCUGACGCUGAGGAGCGAAAGUGUGGGGAGCGAACAGG